rnacentral:rRNA from 1 species
CUCGGCAACGGAUAUCUCGGCUCUCGCAUCGAUGAAGAACAUAGCGAAAUGCGAUACUUGGUGUGAAUUGCAGAAUCCCGUGAACCAUCGAGUCUUUGAACGCAAGUUGCGCCCGAAGCCAUUAGGCUGAGGGCACGUCUGCCUGGGCGUCACGC